rnacentral:lncRNA from 1 species
AAAAACAUUCAAUUCUAUUCAAUAUUCCAUUCACUAAGGACGAGAGACUAGUGUACACAUGACAUUCGAUAAUUAAAGAGUUUUAACAACUUCACUGUCUUUCAUCUACAGAUAAUGUUGUUUAUUAUUUUUUUUUAAUAAAAAAAAAUAUUUGUGAAAAAAUUAUGUGUAGGCACGUGCCUUAAGUGGCUAACGGCAGCUACGCCCCUG